rnacentral:tRNA from 1 species
UGUGGUCGUGGACCCCGGCGGUCAGCCGUGCUCCUGCGGCGGGCGCGGCUGUGUCGAGACCCUGGCCGCCGGACCGGCCCUGGUCCGGUGGGCACGC